rnacentral:misc_RNA from 1 species
GAUGAAGAACGCAGCGAAACGCGAUAUGUAAUGUGAAUUGCAGAAUUCAGUGAAUCAUCGAAUCUUUGAACGCACAUGGCGCCUUCCAGUAUCCUGGGAGGCAUGCCUGUCCGAGCGUCGUUUCAACCCUCGAGCCCCCGUGGCCCGGCGUUGGGGAUCUGCCACGGCAGGCCCCUAAAACCAGUGGCGGACCCGAAGGCCCUCUCCUUUGCGCAGUAGCAUCAGCCUCGCAUUGGGAUCCCUCGGCGUCCUGCCUCUAAACCCCCCACAAGUCCGCUCCGGCGGCACCAAGGUCGACCUCGGAUCAGGUAGGAAUACCCGCUGAACUUAAGCAUAUCAAUAAGCGGAGGA